AGCUAAUAUUUGCAUAGCCACUUUGGGCUUGAUUCAGAGUUUUAUUAAAAUUGUUUUAUUUAAUUCUUGGAAUAAUUCUGUGAAACUUACUGAAGCCACUUAGUGUAACUGAAAAAGUAUAAUCUGCUCUGGAUUGCUUGAAUUCCACCUUUGCCGCUUAACUAGUUGUGUGACCUUGGGCAAGUUAUUUAAUCUCUGAGCCUCAGUUUCCUCAACAGUAAAGUAGGGAUAAUCAUGCCCACCUUAUAGGGCUAUUGGGGGGAUUAAUGAAUAAUACACAAAUAGCUCCUGGUACAUAGUGGGAACUCAGUGAAUGUUGGUUCUCUCCUCCCCUAUUCCGGGCUGGGGCUGGUGCUCUUUUCACUAUGGCCCAGCUGUCUCAUCUUGAUGAUCACUCUAGUUUUGAGGGGCUGAUUAUAUAAAUUGUUCUCCCACAGGCCCAAGUGUGGCAGGAUGAUCCCUCUCAGCUGGAAAUCUGCUCGGUUUGCAAGUAACCCAGGCCCAGCUCCCACCUAUGUGCAGAUCAAUGGACUGGCUCUACCUGGCCUCCUUCCACACCCCUCUGAGGGCCUUUGCCAUUGGUCAGCAAUUCCCUCAGAAGGAGGUGGGCUCACCAUCAGUCUGUGUGUGCAAUGGAAAUCAGGACAAUCAUCCUGCCACAGGGGUAUGUCUCUUGUCUGCCAAUAGACCACUGUGAAAGGAUGACAUAGGAAAAUGGAGGGAGGAAACUGUACCCUGCUGCUCUUGCUGAUAUGUCUACUUCAGCAUCAAAGCACUGAGAGAGUGAGCUGUGAUCACUACAGUCUGGUGAGUCUGUUCAUGCUCAUGUAGGUGUGGUUUUUGUUAUUUUGUUUUGAGCAGAGUGGGUUUUUUUUUUUUUUUUUUUGCCAGCCUUUGAAUCUCUGAACAUCUCCUUUUAUCCUCUUGAUUUAUCCAAAGCAAAAUAAUAGAAUUGUAGCAUAGUAUAGUAGAACAGUAAUUAGACUAUGAUUCAGACAAGCCAGGUUCUAGUUUUGUAUGUUCUAUGGGCAAGCCACUUCAUCUCUAUCAAGAAGCAUUUCUAUAGCAAUUAGUCUUGGAAGAUGCUACACACGUUAGGAUCUGUGAUCCUAUAUAUUCUUUCCUUCCCUCCACCCCAAGAUUUACAAUGCACUUCAUCCCUGAUGUACUCUGAAACCUUUUGAACUUGUUUGAUCUAGAGAUUCCCAAAUUUAUUUGACCUAGGAAUCCUGUACCUGAGAACAUCAUGUUAGACCCUGGGAAAAUAUUAUCGGGUAA
rnacentral:lncRNA from 1 species